rnacentral:rRNA from 1 species
CACACAUUAGAUACCCGCGUAGUCCAGGUGUAAACGCUGCAGACUUGGUGUUGGAGGCCCUUUGGGGGCAUUCAGUGCCGGAGAGAAGUUGUUAAGUCUGCUACUUGGGGAGUACGUCCGCAAGGAUGAAACUUAAAGGAAUUGGCGGGGGAGCACCGCAACGGGAGGAGCGUGCGGUUUAAUUGGAUUCAACGCCGUAAACUCACCAGGGAAGACUGUUACAUGAAGGCCGAGAUGAAGACUCUGCUAGAUUUUCAG